rnacentral:rRNA from 1 species
AACGAACGCUGGCGGCAUGCCUAACACAUGCAAGUCGAACGAGACCUUCGGGUUUAGUGGCGCACGGGUGCGUAACGCGUGGGAACCUGCCCUUAGGUUCGGCAUAACUCCCCGAAAGGGGUGCUAAUACCGGAUAAUGUCUUCGGACCAAAGAUUUAUCGCCUUUGGAUGGGCCCGCGUUGGAUUAGCUAGUUGGUAGGGUAAAAGCCUACCAAGGCGACGAUCCAUAGCUGGUCUGAGAGGAUGAUCAGCCACACUGGGACUGAGACACGGCCCAGACUCCUACGGGAGGCAGCAGUGGGGAAUAUUGGACAAUGGGCGAAAGCCUGAUGCAGCAAUGCCGCGUGAGUGAUGAAGGCCUUAGGGUUGUAAAGCUCGUUUACCCGGGAUGAUAAUGACAGUACCGGGAGAAUAAGCACCGGCUAACUCCGUG